ensembl:lncRNA
GGAAGACCAUAAAAAGUAUUUUAUGAACAGUUUCUCCUUUAUUAUGGCCUGCAAAAAUCCGUAUCGCUUCAAAAGGAAAAAAGCGAGGAAACGAGAAGCAUCUACUCUGUUAUUUGGAGCAAUUCAGGAGCGGAACAGAUUCCCACAGACAAUUUCCAUGGAUACUACACAACACGGAGGUCUAAGCUUGCUUCCUCCGCUUCCAGAUGUGUGGAAUUACUGCGUUGCUCACAGCAUCAGCUCUUGUCUCUGGAAGCAAAGUCUGGAAGGCAUCCCGACUGUCCUCAUCCCUCCCCUCCGCGGCAGUAUCACUGUUCUGUGGACACAUGUGCAGAUCUAGCUGGAGCUGAUGAUCAACCCAAAGGAGGAACCGUCUCAGUCCUGAGAAUACAAAAUAGCUACCACAAAAGACAGCAGUGGUUCGUCUGUGGGUUCCCAUGCAACUUGGAAAUACAAGAGAGAAAUCAUCAUUGCCUUUUGCAGCCUGUAAGAUUUGUGACAGCCAAUUGCAGCGAUAUCCAUAACUUCUGAAAAAGAAAACAUCAUUUUUCUCCUACUGGCAUAUCUCAACUGCACGAGAAGCGUUUCUUUCAGCAUCACCGAAGGCCUGGGAUAUCUCACUUCAUGAAUCACAUUAGAUGUCUUCUCCUAAUUUUGUACGACCAUCUGUGAAUCUUUCCAACCCAGGUUCCAUCAGGAGCAGGAUCUGGCAGUUGGAAGAGAUUUGAGACCAACUCACUCGAUCCUUUUCCUGCUGCUCAGGCUGAUGAUAUUUCAGCAUAAAAGGAGGCUUUGAGCUGGUGUUGACUGCUCUUUCUCCUCUUUUCAAGGUAGUGGCAAAUUCAUCCUUACGGAGUAAGGAUGUCUUUGCAGGAUCACUAAUACCCUUCUUGGUAAUUCAGUUGCAGUGCAAAGCUUUGGAUGACUGAAGUGGGAAGGACAGAGGAAAGAAAAGCAACCCAAACCUUCACCAGCACACCUGCUUGAGGGGCCGCAGAACUCCAAAGUUCAUCAAUACUAUGUGAAUCACUGCUGGAGACUGACAUUAGAAAUCCAUCUUCAUGCUGGCCUGGUUCCUCAUCUCCUACAUCACUAAAUUACAACUUAAAUCCAAAUAUCUCCCAAAUGUUUUGAUACAAGACCUAAAAAACCCCCAUUUCUCAGCUCCCUGAAGACUUCAUAGACCAUAUGCUUCUCAAAGGAGAAGUUAUGCUGUUUCACUUCUUUCUAAUGACUGUUGGCCAAUGGGAAAAUGUAUAACUGAACAACUUAGGUUAUGUCCGCUUGGAGAAGUUGAAGAUUUCGUUAGAUGCUGGACAACAAUAUUCACAUCCAAAGCACUCAAUUUCCAUGCUGCAUCAGGCUUAGUCUCAGUCUCCCCAGAACACAGUGAAAAGACGUGACAGUAGCUUUCUGUGUAGAAAUAUAUUUGGCAAAUAUAUAAACCCUGCAGAGCAUCCCUUGAGAGGCUAAAGGAAUUUAAACUUAAGUCCCAUGCAGAUCUCCUCUAAGGUGUUAUUUUCCCCCCUAAAUACCAUGUUGAAAUUCUACUUUUACCAAGUUUAAAACUGGAAGCUACAUUAUGUUUGCAGAACUGGAAAUCUCAGUGAAUAAAUAAAUCUUGAGAAGCACAGCUACAGGGAAACAGGCACAGACCUUGCACCAUUCACAGCUUUAAAAAAAGUGUUGGAGCUUAGUAAAGCCAGCAUCACACACACAGCAAAUUAGAAGGAGGGCACGCUCUCCUCAUGAACUUGGGGAAAACCCACACAUUUCAAAAGCACAUAAUUCAGCUGUAAAAUGUUAACAACUGUUUUCCAGACUUCGCUUUGGUAUACAAAAUUCAGCCCAGAAACUCUUCCAUUUCACAAAGUAUGGUUCAAAUUAAGGGGAAAAAACAACCCUUUACAUAUCUUUGCAGUGUUUUUUUUUUUUUCCACAACACCAGAGUUCUGUCAAAGUGGGAAUCUUCAUAAAAACAACUAUUCAUAUUCUAUGGUUUAUUUAUGCAAAUUGGAUGGGCAAUGUUAAUUAAAUGAACACUUAGAUCUGUGUAGACCUUUUUACCAGUAGGUUUCAAGAAGAUAAAGUAUGAGAACCUUACUUUGGAACCAAAGAAAUGAAGAUCUGGAUAGGUUGGAUAGCUGGGCUGAAGCCAAUGGGAUGGGAUUCAACAAGACCAAAUGCCGGGUCCUGCACUUUGUCCACAAUAACCCCAGGCAAUGCUACAGGCUUGGGGCAGAGUGGCUGGAAGACUGUGUAGAGGAAAUGGACCUGGGGGUGUUGAUUGACACUAGACUGAACAUGAGCCAGCAGUGUGCCCAGGUGGCCAAGAAGGCCAAUGGCAUCCUGGCUUGUAUCAGAAAUAGUGUGGCCAGCAGGAACAGGGAAGUAAUUAUCCCCCUGUACUCAGCACUGGUGAAGCCACACCUUGAGUACUGUGUCCAGUUUUGGGCCCCUCACUGUAAGAAAGACAUCGAGGCCCUGGAGCGUGUCCAGAGGAGGGCAACAAAGCUGGUGAGGGGUCUGGAGCACAGGCCUUAUGAAGAGCGGCUGAAGGAGCUGGGAUUGUUCAGUUUAGAGAAGAGGAGGCUCAGAGGAGACCUUAUUGCUCUCUAUAACUACCUGAAGGGAGUUUGUAGUGAGCUGGGGGUCGGCCUCUUCUCUCAGGUGACUAGUGAUAGGACUAGAGGGAAUGGCUUCAAGCUGCACCAGGGAAGAUUCAGGCUGGACGUUAGGAAAUACUACUUCUCUGAAAGGGUGGUCAGGCACUGGAAUGGGCUGCCCAGAGAGGUGGUGGAGUCACUGAACCUGGUGGUGUUCAAAGAGCGUUUGGAUGUUGUGUUGAGGGACAUGGUUUAGCGAGAACCAUUGGUGAUGGGCGAAUGGUUGGACUGGAUGAUCCUGUGGGUCUUUUCCAACCUUAGCGAUUCUAUGAUUCUAUAAGAAACAUUGUAAGUGACGUAUGAGCUGAUCUACCAGACUAGGAACCAAGCCAGGAGAAAGGCAAACGAAGGGAUGGAUGCAUGCAAUAAAAGCCUUCAAAUGAUGCCAGGCUGGAUUUUUUUCCUGUGACAGACAAUUAUUGUACAGUUAUGGUCUUCUAAUUAACCAGUUAAAGUACAGUUUCUGCAAUUGUCCUACAUAUGUAGGUACCUGGAUAUUAAGCCUAUAGUUUCAUGAAGUACAGAAAUUCAGUUCCCUCUGAUCCCCCUGAGAAGAAAACAGAGAACAAAACCAACCACCAUUUACCUUCCCCUGAACACCUCUGCUGGUAACAGCUUUGUAAAAUAUUCCUGUGCAAUAUCUACUGAGCAUUAGCAUUGUGCACUUCAUACAGUGAUGCAUCACUGUCCUUUGCUGCAAUUUUAGUUAAUUACCCCAUGAAAAACUUAAAAGAUUUAAGCUCAUAAAAAGUAGUAAAUAAUACAUAUCAGUAGUUUGAUUUCUUGCUACAACACAAAGUUGGAAGUUCAGCCUUCAGUAACCUCUGAGCUAUUUCUUAUCCCCACAGCUUCUGUGACAGUACUACAGGAACGUCUAUCUGUACACAGCAUACAAUAUUACCCUUUAUGAAGGCAGCACUGGAACGGAGAUAUAUAAUUAAUUACAUUCAAUUUAGCACCAUGGAUUUAAGGAUUUGCCUUCCAUUAGCAAACAGAGGAGGGAAACUUAGAAAGUAGAUAACAUCUAUUAUAGACAGAUCAUAUAAAUGACUAUUUCACACUUAUUUAAUCCUUCAAAAGCACUAUCAGAGAAAAUAGUUGUUUCUUAUAAGCAGAUGUACUGUUUGAAGGCACUCAGAGCAAUAUUCAGAUGCUGCUGUAUGGAGUGUGUGUUAAGGAAAGCCCAAAGCAGUUGGGACAGUCUGCUGUAAGCUGGCAGGGUGAGGGCAGAGGCUGCAGACAGUGCAUGGAUGGAUGUGUGCAUGGCUGGGGAUAGAUGCAUGGCCACACUGCCAAAGAGACCUGCCUAGCUCUUGGGCUGGGUGUAGAGGCAGACAACCCUGAUCUUCAGCACAAUGGGCAUGCAGCAAGACUAAACAGAAAAGAAGAUACUGGGAGAAAAGUGAUGGCUUGAGACUUUUUCUGAAAAAAAAAAAAAUCAGAAGAACCCCAACUCCGCUACAACCAAAAAUCCAAUAAUCCAAAACACUUCAUCUGUGAAAAGAAUUCAAAUUCAAUUAUUGACUGCACAACAAAUUACUGCAUCUCAGUCAGAGGCCGUACGUGGAAGCUGAAACACUGAGAACACAGCUAGAACGUAUUCCAAACGCAGCCUUCACCCAGGACUCUCUGAAGCACAGUCGACAUCAGAGACAGCAGAGCAGGAAAUAUGUUCUCAGAUGGAAAGGUCUGCUACAUUCCUCCAAGAAUUGCCCUCUAGAGCUGGAGCCUCUUUGUCUAACAGGUACAGCUGAGGCAGGUCCCUGUGCUUUGAAACACUGCUGUUAGAGAAGAAUCGAGGUAUGGCUUUUGGUUCAAGACUGAAUGGUUGGUACUGACAAACUCUGGAGUAGGCAGCAGGAUUCUGCUUUCACGUAUACAUUUGUUUCACAGCCUGAAGCUGGAAAAGCUUUAAUUUAAAUCUUACUGAUAAAAUAGAAAAAAAAAGCUAUUGAUCUUAAUAAUUUUUUUAGCAUGCAUGGUAUUUUUAUUAAUGAUUAAUAACCUUACUAUACUAUCACAAUAUAUCUGUAUAGGUAUUUUUCUUGUUAAAGUAUACAAUUUAGGUGUAAAACAUUUCAUUUAAUUCAUCUCCAACACUACUAACCUUUUCUUACUUAAAUCUGUAAUGCAAAUCUAUAAAAAUCACCAUCAGCUAUAACAGAUGAGUCCAUUGAAAGGCAGUGGCCCUAGGGAUGGCUCUGACCUCCUGAUCUUUCCAUCGCCACUGCUCACACAGCCAGGACUCCUUUGUCCAGAUCAAACCUUUCAUUAGCUGGCACUGAUGAUCAGAGCACUCUGAUCUCUCCCACAUCUCUCUGGACAUGGCUUUUAUGUUCUGCUGCGCCUUCAUGAGACUAAACAACAAUCAGCAUUUGACUCUAAAACUCUUCUCAUGGCCAUCUUACAGUUCAGACACGGUCCCCCCAGGAACCUGUAGCAUGGGGGUCAUAGAAAUCUCAUCCUGUUCCCCCUAGAUACAUUCACAUAUGUCCACAUCAGGUAGAAUACAUGUAGCAAAACCAAACUGGGCAUGCACAAUCACCUGUAGUUUCUUCAGGCAAGGCCACCUCAGAGAUGCAAGAAUAACAGCCUAGGAAAAGUUUUAGAGACCUUUUUCCUGCCAACAUACACAAACCUAGUUACUUUGUUCCAAGGGGCCAGCUUCAUCAUGUACCAUACUGGUAGUUAAUUCGGCCUAAAUGCUUGCCAGUUUUUAAUACAGCUUCCCUAAAGUUGCUAUUAAUCUGGGGUGAAUAUAAAGUGCACUGCUUUCUCCCAGCUUGUUUCAUCCUCUGAUUACAUUCACAUAUUCUACGCAGCACAGCUGUGAACACUUCAGGAGCAGCCAUCCUGAAGAUGGAGAUUGACCAUCCAGUACAACCCACCCCAUCCCAACACUCUGAUUUUCUUUCUGUAGGGUUUCACCAUCGAUUGUAGCCUUCCCAAAUCUUAUCUAACACUAUCUCAUCUAGUCUGUGUUCCAAAAUUUGAUUUAUGCACCUGUAUUCAUUCAUUUUUCACUUGGCUUUGCUGUAAUGUCUAACAGCAGAGAUAGCAUUUGUACUUCUGAUAGCUCAAAAGUUUACACAUCAUUUGAAAGCCAUGCAUUUGCAGAUAGAUAAAAAUAGUCUUAGUGUUUUAAUUAAGUGUUUGCAGUGCAACAGUCAGCGUUGGCAAUGGCAACAGUCAGUUACAGCUAAUGAUACCUUUUGAUAAAGGCAUCAAAUUGUUUUACCCCCAAACCAACCUGUACUACUUUGAGUAAUUUUUGCUGGCACCUCUGGCUUAUGUGCUGCUGAUGGUCAGUUUUUAUUCUACCGAUGUGUACUGUUAUGGUAAUUGGAGGCUAUUUUAGACUAUUUGUGUUUACCCUUAUUGCUAGUUAAUCCCCCCAGAAUUGUGAAGCAUCACUCACAGAUUUUCCAUGUUAGCUGUUAUUUUGCCACUUCUGCACAGAAACUUGCUUGAAACCACCUCAAAUCACAGAUUUGUUGGCUAAGUUCCUAUUACCCUCAGCAGCUCUGUAUUAGGACCUACGUGGCUCAAUUAAUCAGGUGGCUAACACCAAGCAAGUCUAAAGACAAGGAUGAAUGGAAAGCAUCCUGGGGGACAGCUGUGCAGGAAAAUUAAAGUCAAAAAGGAAAGUUGCAGUAGAGACCACAGUAGGACAGAGGAGGAGCUCCUGGCUGUGAGCUGUCUGCAGCUCCAGGAGCCCUGGCUUUUGGCACUUUGUGAAGAAUUGCAGCUGCUGAUGCUGUCAAUAGUCCAGAAAAAGUAGCAGCUGCAAGGGAAGGAAGGAGGACUGCUUGGGACUUCCUGACUGACCUCACACUUCUGUAGCCCAGAUCAUUUCUCCUUCUCCUGCCAUACUUCACCCAUAAAAACACUGAUUACUAUGAUUUCAUGCAGGUGGAGGAAAUUUCACUUUCACGGCUUCAGAGUUGUUUCAUUUUCAGAUCCUAAGGGUUUCCACAGCUUGGAGAGAUCACAGGAGUGAUAUUUUCAAGCGUGGGGCUUGGGGGCUCUCAGUAUUGGGACCUGCCUUUUUACUACUGCUGGAAAGGUCCAGAACUUGAGGGUUGAAAACUAUCAAGUGAACAUCAUACAACAAAAUACAAUUUUCACAGAAAAUGGUUUCUCUUUGUUAAAUUUCACAUCUACUCAUUGUAAAAGCAUCCCCAUAAAACAAAAAAAAAAAGUGUUCAUGUUAUUUUGUGUGAAAAGACAAAACACUUAUUAGAAAGCAUAACGCUUUUUGAUUCUUGUCUUACAGAAUAAGCUACGAAUCCUCAACAUAUAAAGUGACUAUAAAGUAAAAACUAAUUUCUCAUGUAGUUACUCUGUUCCUGAGACCUUUCUGGCUAUCUAAUAUAUUUCCAAAGGAACAUGUUGUUUUGAUAACUGAAUACUCAAUUAGAUAUUCCUCUAGCAAACCAAUUCAGAACUUCCUAUCACGAUCUUCUGUACAGCUACACAGAUAGGGCAUAUAAUUGGACAAAACUUUUCACAGCCACAAGAUUAAGUUUCUUCUUUAAUAAAUAAUUCUUUUUAUUAUUAAAACAUAUGUUAAAUGUAUAUUGUAGACAACUGUAUAGCCAUUUUGGAAGGCUUAUAGUAAGACCUUGUGAUACUAUACUGAGAUGACAAUAGCAGAGUGGCAAAGUCUUUGGCUACAGCAAAUGAGAAUGAGCCCAAAUUCAGCAGCCACAGAUGCAGAGACAGAUAAAAAGAGCUACUUACUUCUAGAAGGCCUCAGAUAAGCAGGGAACCCUAGCAAGAUAUGCCCUCACCUCCACUGACAACCCUUAAAUGAGAUCUGGGAAGGGGUGGAUCCUGGCUGCACCCCUUCCAGUCACUCAGGUGCAUUGCAUACACCUGAGCUCCUUUGGGUUUGCCCUGCCUUCCCACCAGGUGCUCAAUUGCUGUUUCAGACCAUGACUUAGCAUUUCCACUACAGACCUGAAGCCCUUCAUGUCUGUGUUAUGCUUUAGGGUCUCUGUGAAAGACUGUAGAAUGGGAAAAUACAUCUGAGCUCAUAACCAUGGGCAGCUGGGACCACGGAGUCAUCUCCUUACUGUUGUUUUGAGCCAUCUCUUUGGAACUGCUUGGAUGGAUGCAGCUCCUAGCUGGGUCACAGCUAGCAGCACUGCCAAGUCUGUGAAUGGCUUUUUGACAUGGAAAGUCUACUAGCAGUAGAAGGGCUGGGGGUUGGUAUCUAUUGUACAAUCUAAAGCUAGAUCAGAAGAGAUGGAUAUAGGAAGGAUAUUGAACCCUUACUGUGGAAUAGAUUGGAGUACUCCAGUUUUCCUUCUAAAAAAACAAGAAAAUAUAGCAAGAAAAAAGGCUGGUAGGAAUUUUCUUUCGAAUUUCUCAUUUUCUCCUGCAUCAACAAGUUUCACUCAGUCCUUGAGAACAGAUCCAGGCAUUUUUCACCCCAAGCCCUCCUGGCUGCUGCUCACAAAGGACAACCACUGUUCCUUGGCUUACCAAGCGCUUAUCUAGAGGGAUGCUGUCCCAAAAGCUCUCUGCUUAAUAAAAACAUUCCAUCCAUCACACAUCAUAAAAAUGAAAUAGAGGGGCAUCAGACAGCAAACAUAAACACUCCCACAGACCUCUUACCACUGUAAAAUAAUUUAUGGGGUUGAAACUACAUUGGCAUACUGUCACUGGUAAUGUUCCCACUGGCUUACCAGCACCUUCAGUUUUUUUGGCUGUUUGCAGAACAAUUCCAGCUCUGCUUCCAGCUCAACAAGUAAUUUUAUUUGGGUCUGGCUCUUAAGAAAGUCUCAGAUGUGUCCAACUGUCCCUCACUGAGUAGAAAACUGUGUUGAGCUACAUCAGAGUAGCCAUAGGUAAGUUCAUUUUAAGCUUUGUGGCUUUUUAUAGAAUAAUUCCAAAGAAAAGGUGUAAUUAAUUGCCACUGCCUCAUUUUUGUCCUCCUCAGACAUCUCAAAGAAAUCACUGCAAGAGGCCUAGGCAACAAAAAUCUUUCUUACAAGAAGACAGUCUUUCAUUACCACAAAAGCCUCUCCCAGGGAGCAGCUCUGAAACCAAAUGGAAAGCCUCAGGCAGAAAGUAAAACAGUGAGUUUGCAGACUGAGCCGCCACCAGAAGCACACUGGUAUUGCAAUUGGAGAUUCAAUUGGGUUUUGGGAGACUUUGCAAUGCUAAGACACUACUUAAAGGUACUUCUCAUAUCUAACAUAGCACUGAGCUUUUACGAACAUAAAUCUUAUGGAUACAGAAUACAAAGCUCAUUACAAAAUCUACAUCACAUGACUUGGCCAAUUUUAUUUGAAUGCCCUUUCCUAGCUGUGCAUUUCUCUCUUUUUCACUAUUACAACAGUGUGUGGCUACCCUGAGAAGUGGUACCACUGAAAUGAAUUGCAAAGUGCAUGAUGCCUACUACUGUACCACUGCACGCUUUUCCAGCACUAGCUAGAGAAUGCUAGAAUGAGAGUCCUAAAGGAAUUCUGUACCUUUAUAACCUCAUAAACUUAGAAGCUUAAUUCUUUGUAAGCUCAUUGAGAUCAGUUGAAAAAUAUGGCUGGGUCGAGUGUGUUGGAUAGGGGGGAAAAUGCAUUGGAAAUGUGUCAUUGCAGAGUGUUUGCUGCACCAGAACAGCCUUAGGUGGGAAAUGAGAGACACAGCAGAUACAGGAUAUAGAGAGGGAGAAAUGCAAGCCAUUCAAAUAAUGCAGAAGCUGCCUUCCCAGUAAAGACUCCUGUUGUUACAGUCACUUAAGUUCAAAAGGGAAAAAUAAUGAUGGACUGUGUCCUUAAAUAAUGUCGGAAUAUUCGAGCGCAGUUACCUGAAAAAAUGCAGGAUAAAUUUGGAAAGCCUAUGGUGUUAGAUAUAAAAGUCAGCUUGCACAGAGCUAAGACCAGACUUCUGUGCUGAUAAUAUAGGUAAAUAAGGUAAUACUUAGUUGAAAAAGUGUGGCUUGGAAUUCUUUUUCUGUUUGUAUCUCUUGAGUCACAUACAAAUACACUGAGAGUUAAAAAUGGGAAAAAUCACAGUAAUGGCUUUAUUUAUGAAAGCUGCCACUUCUUUUGCCAAGUCAUUUGGAGUGUUCUGCAGCAAAAUAAACAUAUGGUGAAAAUAUAAACACAGAGAUAUGAAAACAACCUCUUCACAUUUAAACAAGAGUCAUUUGAGAAAAAUGCCAAAUAAAAAACUAGAAAAAGGAAGAAG